rnacentral:rRNA from 1 species
AGCGAACGCUGGCGGCAGGCCUAACACAUGCAAGUCGAACGAACCUUUCGGGGUUAGUGGCGGACGGGUGAGUAACACGUGGGAACGUGCCUUUAGGUUCGGAAUAACUCAGGGAAACUUGUGCUAAUACCGAAUGUGCCCUUCGGGGGAAAGAUUUAUCGCCUUUAGAGCGGCCCGCGUCUGAUUAGCUAGUUGGUUGAGGUAAUGGCUCCCCAAGGCGACGAUAAGUAGAGGGUAUGAGAGGAAGAUCAGCCACAUUGGGAGUGAGACACGGCCCAAACUAUUGCGGGAUGGAGCCGUGGGGAAUCUUGCCAAACGGGGUAAGUCAUGAAGCAGUCAUGCUGGGAGAGCGCUGAAGGUCUUAGGGAUGUACAACACUUUCACCCGGGGCUAUAAUGACGGUACCCGAAGAAUAAGCCCCGGCUAACUUCGUG